rnacentral:tRNA from 1 species
GGUAGUUCAGUGGUAGAAUUCUUGCCUUCCAUGCAGGAGACCUGGGUUCAAUUCCCAGCC